UACGUAGGGUGCAAGCGUUAUCCGGAUUUACUGGGUUUAAAGGGUGCGUAGGCGGGUCUGUAAGUCAGUGGUGAAAUCUCCGAGCUUAACUCGGAAACUGCCAUUGAUACUAUAGGUCUUGAAUUAUCUGGAGGUAAGCGGAAUAUGUCAUGUAGCGGUGAAAUGCUUAGAUAUGACAUAGAACACCAAUUGCGAAGGCAGCUUACUACGGAUCGAUUGACACUGAGGCACGAAAGCGUGGGGAGCAAACAGG
rnacentral:rRNA from 1 species